rnacentral:rRNA from 1 species
GACGAACGCUGGCGGCGUGCCUAAUACAUGCAAGUCGAACGAGUGGCGGACGGGUGAGUAACACGUGGGAACCUACCCAUCAGAGGGGGAUAACACUUGGAAACAGGUGCUAAUACCGCAUAUUGAUGGCUGACCCGGCGGUGCAUUAGCUAGUUGGUGAGGUAACGGCUCACCAAGGCCACGAUCCCUAGCUGGUCUGAUAGGAUGAUCAGGCACACGGUAACGGAGACACGGUCCAGACUCCUACGGGAGGCAGCAGUGGGAAAUAUUGCACAAUGGGCGCAAGCCUGAUGCAGCCAUGCCGCGUGUAUGAAGAAGGCCUUCGGGUUGUAAAGUACUUUCAGCGAGGAGGCGUUACUCGCAGAAGAAGCACCGGCUAACUCCGUGCCAGCAGCCGCGGUAAUAC